AACCAAAAAACAUCUUGGUCAUUGUCAUUCUUGAAUGCCUAACCUUUGCAUGAAAAUAAAUUUUGAUUUGCUCAUGGAAAAACUGAACAGAUGAGAGAGGUUCUAAGUAUCCAUUGCAACAAAAUUUCCGCAUCAUAUAUAAGGAGACGAGGCAGAAAGGAAACUUUGUCACAUCGCAUAUAUAUUUUUCACAAUCGUUGCGUACAUUGCCCGAUGGACAAUUCUCUUGCGUGGAUUUUUAUUUAAGUAAACAUUUUUAAGGCAGCCACACAUAAGGGUAGACAUUUUAAACGUAGAUAUUUUAUGGGUAGACUUUUUGUUGUAGAC